rnacentral:rRNA from 1 species
GAUGAACGCUAGCGGCAGGCUUAAUACAUGCAAGUCGAGGGGGAUCAGUUGGGUAGCAAUACCUGGCUGUGAGACCGGCAAACGGGUGAGGAACACGUACGCAACUUUCCCAAAACUGGUGAAUAGCCCUCCGAAAGGAGGAUUAAUACACCGUAACAUAACGAAAUGGCAUCAUUUUGUUAUUAUAGCAGCAAUGCGGUUUUGGAUAGGCGUGCGCCUGAUUAGGUAGUUGGCGGGGUAACGGCCCACCAAGCCUACGAUCAGUAACUGGUGUGAGAGCACGACCAGUCACACGGGCACUGAGACACGGGCCCGACUCCUACGGGAGGCAGCAGUAAGGAAUAUUGGUCAAUGGACGAAAGUCUGAACCAGCCAUGCCGCGUGAAGGAUGAAGGUCCUCUGGAUUGUAAACUUCUUUUAUCUGGGACGAAAAAGGGAAUUCUUUCUCACUUGACGGUACCAGAAGAAUAAGCACGGCUAACUCCGUGCCAGCAGCCGCGGUAACACGAG